UCUAAAACCAUUCAACGGCUUCAAUGUCUCUCUCUCUCUUUCUCUGUUCACAAUUCUAUUGGUCCUCCAGAGUAGUUCUACUCCUGCAAAUCCAGUCUGCAUUGAUUGCUUUCUCUUUCGAUUUCUUUUGAAUUCUGGUAGAUUGAUUAGAGAUCCGUAUAUCGAUGCCGGUUUUAGGUUGUGAAGAUGUUUUGCGCUGCUGUUGAAUUGAAUAGCUAGUUAAAACCAGCUCGAUUUGUUGUUCUUCGAUGUUCGAUUCAGAUUUACAGAUAUGGCCAAGGAGCUGUUGUCGAAUUCAAGGAGGUUUCAGGCCUUGACGUUUCCGAGCUUGAUUCCAGCGUCGUUUCAGCCUCUGCAGAACCGAUUCUCUGGUAGUUAAUGGUGCUGUGAGUGACGCACAUUCGUAAAUCCAAGGGCAUGAAUGUAAUUUGACGAGUGGGAAGCUGAAGGCUGGGGGAUUUGGGGAGUGGGGAUAGGUUAUGUAUCGGAUGUAUAAGAUGUCGGGACGAAAGGUUCAGAGAAAGGGCCGAGUCCUGGACCGAUCUUUGCCAUGACAGGUGCGCUUGCAUGGCAGGUCAAAAAACAUAUCGCAAUAAAAAGUAACAAUUUUUUGGUUUGGAGGGGAGACGGCAUGAGUUUUUUUCUCCCCAGGUCUCCCCUCCGGUGUGUGGUGUGUGCUUUUUGCCUUUUCGUUCUCCCUGUUUUAUUUUUGCUCUCUUGCCACAUGCAUACCAGUCGAACAUGGAUUGUUGGCAACAGCAACAACCUCGAAAUCUCGUCGCCAAAGGUAUUAAUCUAACUAAAUCUAUUUGCACAGUUAAGUCAUAAUUAAUUAGUUUCGUGCUCAAGUUGUGAUGGUUCAUAGUUGCAUAUAUAUCGUUAAUCAUGUAUGUUUACAAAGAUGGCCAUCGGCGCAUCAAAUUUAUUUCUUUUGCAAGUCAUAUUAACAGGCAAAUUCCAGACGUGUGCAGUAAUUGUUGCCUCGUUACGAAGCUACUACAAAUUUUAUUAAAUGAGAAUGCAACAGUGUUAUGUUAUUCUUUCAUAAUUUGAUCACAACGGAUGUUAUGUUAUAUUCUGGGAUCUGGUUGUAAUAUCAUGUAAUAAUGCUUUUGGCUGCUAUUGAUGCGGCCAUCGAUGUAUUCCCGUAGUUUGUUGCAAGGGAGUGUCUGCUGGAAGCUCUGUUUUUUUUACGAGCCCCAAUGAUGUUUCUGCUCAAAUAAAAGCUGCUUGGUCAUGCGGAAAUUCUAAUUCCGUUGCCCUGCAAUCUCUAUGUGAAGUUUUGAGGUGCAAUGAUACAAGUUGAGCUUCACAUUCCUUUUGUUGUAAAAGUUAUUGCAAGUCCUCACAACGAGUCGUUACAAAGAUUAUUUCACAUUUGGCGAUCAGUAUUAUGUAUUUAAUUAUCUUAUUCAUGUCGGAGUUAUGUUUGAAUACUUUGCCCCUAAUUUUUUUCUAUUGAAUUUUGGAGGAAUUGGAGUUAUUUUGUUUGGAAGAUACAGGUUUAGUUGAUGUGAAUGUAGUCGGCGGAACUAUAUGUAAUUUGUAGUUCUUUUUUGGCAGUAGAGUUCCAUUUGUUGGUUUUGAUUUUGAA